UUUUUGGAAUUUUGAAUCGAUCAGAGGAAAGAAUUCUAUGAUUUAUUUGCCACAAAAGCAUGUAUUGGUAAAAAAAUAUAUAGACAAGCACAUAACAGGGGUCGAUACUGACAUGUUUUAACAUUACUGUUUCAUGUUAAACGUCAAACACCAAAACCGUGAGCGGAUCCUGCCGGUAUUGGCUUUAAUGAGCAUACAUGUAUCGCACAGACACUUGUUUCUAUCCAUAGGAAGGUCGACUAUCCAUAAAUAGAAGAAGGUGGAUAAAAGUUUUUUUUAGGUCAGUCUCCACUUCGGACGCUUUUUCUACCCUUUAAGCUUUAAAUUAAUACAAAAAAAAUCUAUUUAUAUGUGUAGCGGGGUUGCUUCCCCUCCUUAGUACAGGUAGAACAUUUAACGCCAGUCUUAAUCAACUGAGCUAGCCUAGGGAAUCAAUUCUUUGGCUUAGUGGGUUAACGCACUGACUGUUACGCAGGCGACCUGGGUUCGAAUGCCUGUGGUGAUUAUAUAAAUUUGUAGAGCAGAUGCAUGCUCACUAGUUACAUUUGGCGCCCAACUAAAAAAUCCACGAUGGUUAUCUGGAGUAUUGCCAGGAUUUGUGUUGUUUAGAGUCAUAUAUAAAGAUAUGAAGACUCUUGUGGUAGUGGAAUAGUGUGGCGGGGUUGCUUCCCCUCCUUAGUACAGAUAGAACCAGUCUGCACGGUUAGCCACUAGUCCGAUGCCCCAGACUAGUAAGUUUUUGCAAAAUUUUGUUUGGCCCAAUAAGAAAAAUGUCAGAAUAUUGGUCUUCGGACUAGUAGUUGAAAAAGUUUUUGGUGCAGACUGUAGAACAUAUAAAGCCAGUCUUAAUCAACCGAGCUAGGGAAUUGAUUCUUUGGCUCAGUGGGUAUCGGGAUCGUUCGCCCUGAUAACAUGUUCGCCCUACAUGUAGGUUUGUUCGCUCUGAGUUUGUUCGCCCUGAUAGUCCGUUCGCCCUGGGUUCGUUCGCCUUAUUUUUAUUUAAGAUAUGUAUAUGUUACAUUAAUGAAAGAAAUAUAUAUAUUAAAAUUUAUGAUGUCUAAAAAUAGCAACAUAUAUUAAAAUUUAUGUAUAUCUAUUAAAAGUUAAAUACAGAAUAUUUGCCAAAUUUAUAUUAAUAAAAUAAAAUUCUUGGCUGCAUUGUUACACUUUAUUUUAUAAUUACUUUUAAGUACUGAUGAUUGAAUUUUGAUUGCUGAUUAGGUAUUAUUUGAAAACUUUGAUAUUACUGAUUGUUACAUGAAUUGUCCUUGAUGGAUUAAUAAUGAAAAUAACAUUUUUCUCUAAUAAAAUAGUCAGCUUGGAUGGGUAAAAAAACUGAUGCCAAAAUUGUUAGACAUGAAAGGGAAAUUAUUUUCGCAGCUUGGCUCUUUGAUCUCGAGGUGUGUUUUGACAAAGUUAUAUAUGGAAGUGGAUUAUGGAACCACUGCAAUUUUCCAUAAACUAUGGAAAUGUACAUGAAAAUGAAACCCUAAAUCAUUUACUGCUACAUUGUAACCUAGUAGCAGCUAGCUAUAGACAACAUAAUACAUAGUAAAUAUUCGGCGAAAUUGUAGACUGACUUCAACAUAUUCAAUUAUAUAUAUAUACACAACGCAACACUAUAUAUAAUAAAAAAUAAAAUCUGGGCGAACGGACUCUGGGCGAACCGGUAUUAGAGCGAACAGGAACUAGGGCGAACCCGAAUCAGGGCGGACGGACCCGGAUUCGGCUCAGUGGGUUAAAGCACUGACUGUCACGCAGGCGACCACGGUUCGAAUCCCGGUGGUGACGAUAUAAAUUUGUAGAGGAGAUACAUGCUCUCCGGUUACAUGAUAUGGAUAGUCGACUUUCAUAUGGAUAGAAACAAGUGCCUGUGCUGUAUUGUCUGUACAAUGUCAAUGGCCAAUGCUUAUUUCAAUUUACGCCAGGUUUACUGCUUUUUUCUACUCCCGUAAGGACUACAAAUUAACGUUUCCUGCUCCCUUACGCCUGGAUCUAGACACGUAAAUACCACUUACGCCUGGUUUACGCCUCAUUUCCAGGCGUAAUACGCCUUACAAUUUCAUACGGGAAAGCAUGUUAAGUGUUUUGUGUGGUGUUAUAAAGACAAUUUGAAGAGAUGGGCAAAAAUUUUAAAAAUUGCCACAUAUAAUACAUACUUAUAAUAAUAGAAUAUGUAUAUAUGUACAAUGUAGGUAAUAUGAUAAUUCCAUAUUAUGUGAAAAGAUUUUAGAUUGCUAUUAAUGAUUUGUUUAUAUCUUCUUUAUUGAAGCUCAAUUCAUGAACUGCACAGUUUUUGGCAAUUUUCAACAAUGGAAGAAAAUUUGAAACAGAAACCAAGAUACAGAUAUUAGCAGUUAAUGUAUAAUGUAAAACUUUUAUUUUAACAUAUUCAACAUCCCCUGACUUUGCACUUGUAUUAAUGUUUGUGUCAAAGAGCAGAAAACAAAGUCCCUCUAAACUAUUAAGAUCUAAGUUUGAUAACUAUAGAACUAAUGAACGCAUAGAAUGUAAUUUCAUUCUUUAAUUCACAUUAUAUUAUAUAUAUUGUUGUAGGCUCCGAUUCUGACCAAAUUAUUAAGUCAUUUCUGGAUUAAAGUUUUUCACCAUAAAAGAUCGUCAAUUUCGCACAUCUUUAUGACGUCAUUAACCAGAGAUGGCUCGCCUGUAUCCUUGCUCUAUUAAAAGGCUCUAGCACUUUCAUUAUCGUUAUUCUGUAGGGUAGUAUAGAAUAUAGAAAUAAAUAAUGUUCUGUAAGUACGUAAUCUUGAUUCCUGUAUGACUGAGGGAUGGUGACUAUCUUUUUGGAUUUUAAUUUCCCAAAUAUUUUGUGCAGUAUAAAAUCAAACUUUUUCUCCUGUUUGUUCAACAUGUACGUACAUGUAUGCAUGUGUUUGGAAUGAUGAUGCAUACAUUUUUGUCAUGUGGUGAUGGAAGUCACAUGACAGAUUCGUCUGAAAACCACAUCUCAGAACUGGCCUAUGCUCACAUAGUUAAUAUAUCUUUCAUUGUGAUGUUUAUUGUUGUAAUUACCAAUUAUGUCUAUCGAUUGUAACUAAUUAUAUGCCCUUAUUGGCCCUGUAAUUUGGGAUUUUUUUUUUUUUAUUCUAUUCUACUCACAUACUUUUUUGUACAGGAGUAAAUCCUUAUAUUUCAGGUACAGAUGCCCUUAAACAUGUUAAAGUGUUUGAUGAAGUAAAGAGCAAGAUACUAUCCCAUUUAGCAGCGAUACUGCAUGACUAAUUCCCAGACAAUAUGACACAGAAUACCGAUUGGCAUGAUUGGACACCAAUAGUUCACACAUGAGAACUGAGAAGAUGUUUUCAGGGUAAUCCACAUUGCACUGAAAUAAUUCAAAUAACUUAAAGAUAUUAAGCAAAUAUUUAAAGAAAUUGUCUGUCUUCCAAUUACACAGAAGUCAACAACUAUAGGUCACUGUAAGCCUUCAACAAAGAGCAAAACUAACACCACAUAGUCAGCUGUAAAAAGACCCAAAAUAAAAAAUGUAAAACAAUUCAAACGAGAAAACUAAUGGCCUUAUUUAUGUAAAAAAUAAUAUGUAACUCAGCAACAAACAACAACUACUGAAUUACAGGUUCUUGACAUGGGACAGGCACAUACAGAAUGUGCAGGGUUAAACUUGCUUGAAGGUGCCAUUCCUCUUCCCCUAACCGGGAACAGUGGUGAACAUUAUAAUGAGUCAUUAUAACAACAAACUAUAAAUAUCAAUUGAAAAAGGCUUAACUCAUCUCAUGGGAUAUGAAUAGCAAUACAUUUAAAAAAAAACCAAAAUAAACCUAGAAAACUAACAGCCUAAAGUUAUUAAUGAACGAAAAACAAAUAUUUAACACAGCUACAAGAGACAACCACUGAAUUACAGGCACAUACAUUAAGGAUAGAUCUGUUACUGAC
rnacentral:lncRNA from 1 species